rnacentral:rRNA from 1 species
AUUGAACGCUGGCGGCAGGCCUAACACAUGCAAGUCGAACGAGUGGCGGACGGGUGAGUAAUGUCUGGGAAACUGCCUGAUGGAGGGGGCUAACUACUGGAAACGGUAGCUAAUACCGCAUACCAUCGGAGGUGCCCAGAUGGGAUUAGCUAGUAGGUGGGGUAACGGCUCACCUAGGCGACGAUCCCUAGCUGGUCUGAGAGGAUGACCAGCCAAACUGGACUGGGUACACGGUCCAGACGCCUACGGGAGGCAGCAUUGGGGAAUAUUGCACAAUGGGCGCAAGCCUGAUGCCGCCAUGCCGCGUGUAUGAAGAAGGCCUUCGGGUUGUAAAGUACUUUCAGCGGGGAGGCGUUACCCUCAGAAGAAGCACCGGCUAACUCCGUGCCAGCAGCCGCGGUAAUAC